GGGGCACAUAUGUAUGGUGACUGACAAAGUACAACUGAAAUUUCUCAAUGUUAUAAACUAUUACGACCUCAGUUAAAAAAAAAAAACAGAAAAGUGUUAGUGAGGAUGGGGAGAAAUUGGAAUCCUUUGGCACUGUUGGUGGGAAUGUAAAAUGGUGCAGCCACUGUAGAAAAUAGUAUAGACGUUCCUCAAAACUUUAAAAAUAGAAUUACUACAUGAUUCAGCACUACUACUUCCAGGUAUAUAUCUAAAAGAAUUCAAGGUGGGAUCUUGAAGAGGUGUCUGUACCUUCAUGUUCAUUGCACAAUUAUUCACAAUAACCACAAGGUAGAAGCAAUGUCUAUGGAUGGAGGAAUGAAUAAAGAAAAUGUAGUAAAUGCGUACAUUGGAAUAAUAUCCAGCCUUAAAAAAGGAAAUUCUGUUACAUGCUGCAAAGUGAUUGAACGUUAAGGACAAGCUGAGUGAAAUAAGGCAGUCACAUAAGGACAAAUGCUAUGUGAUUCCACUUUGAAGUAUUUAAAGUAGUCAAAAUCAUAGAGACAGAAAGUUUUAAGGUAGUUUCCAAGGGCUGGGGAGAGGGAGAAAGUGUUUAAUAGUAUAGAGUUUCAGUUUUACAAGAUGAAAAAGUUCUAGAGAUCUCUUCAACAGCAAUGUGAAUAUACUUAAUACCACUUAAUUGGACACUUAAAAAUGGUUAAGAUGGUAAAUUUAAUGUUAUGUAUUUUUUCCACAAUUUAAAAAAAAAACCUCCCAACAAAGAAAAGCCCUGGACCAGGUGGCUUCACUGGUGAAUUCUGCCAAACAUUUAACGAACAACUAACACCAACCAUCUCAAACUUCCCAAAAAAAAUGAAGAGAGGGUACACUUCAUAACUUACUCUGUGAGGCCAGCAUUGCCCUCAAAUCAAAGCCAUACAAUGACACUACAAGAAAAAAAACCUACAAGCCAAUAUCCCUUAUAAAUAUUAAUGCAGAAAUCCUCAACAAAAUACUAGCCAACAGAAUUCAGCAGCAUAUUAAAAGGAUUAUUCACCAUGACAGAUUCCUGUAAGGCAAUGAUGAGUCAACAUACAAAAAUCAAUCAAUGUAAUGCAUCACAUUUACAGAAUGAAGGAUGAAAACCUCAUGUUUAUCUUAAUCAAUGCAGAAAAAGCAUUUGACAAAAUUCAACCUCAAAUUAUGAUAACAGGACUCAAACUAGGACUAGAAAGAAACUACAACACAGUAAAGGCAACUUGAAAACCCUAUAGUAAACAUCAUACUCAAGGGUGAAAGACUGAAAGCUUUUCCUUUUAAGAGCAGGAGGAAGGCAAGCAUGCCCACUCUUGCCACUUCUAUUUAACGUAGUUCUGGAAGGCUUAGCUAGAGCAGUUAGACAAGGAAGGGAAAUAAAAGAUAGACAAAUUGAGAAGGACAAAGUAAAAUUACCUUUGGAGAACUCUAAAUAUUUUAUACCAAAAAGAAAAAAACAAGAAUAAAUGAACUCAGCAAAGUUGAAGAAUACAAAAUCAAGACACAAAAAUCAGUUUCAAUUACAUUUCUAUGCACUAACAAUGAACAGUCCAAAAAGCAAAUUAAGAAAAUAAUUCCACUUAAAAUAGGAUCUAAAAGAAUAAAAUAUUUAGCAAUUAACCAAGGAAGGAAAACACUUGUACAUUGAAAACUACAAGACAUUGCUGAAAUAAAUUUAAAGACAAAUAAAUGUAAAGACAUCCUGUGUUCAAGCAUGGAAAGAUUCAAUACUGUUAAGAUGCCAGUACCACCCAAAGUAGUCUAUAGAUUCAAUGCAUCCCACAUUAAAAUGCCAAUGAUGUUUUUUGUAGAAAUAAGAAAAUCCAUCCUAGAGGGCUGGCCCCAUGGCCGAGUGGUUAAGUUGCACGCUCUGCUUCGGCAGCCCAGGGUUUUGCCGGUUCAAAUCCUGGGUGCAGACAUGGCACUGCUCAUCAAGCCACGCUGAGGCAGCGUCCCACAUGCCACAACUAGAAGGACACACAAUUAAAAUACACAACUAUGUACCCGAGGGGGCUUUGGGAGAAAAAGGAAAAAAUAAAAUCUUAAAAAAAGAAAAAAUCCAUACUAAAAUUCUAUGGAAUCUUAAGGGACCCAAAUAGGUAAAGUAAUCUUGGAAAAGAAGAAUGAAACUGGAGGACUUAACACUUCCUGACUUCAAAACGUAGUGCCAUGCUACAGGGAUCAAGGAGUGUGCUACUUACUGCCUUAGAGACAAUUACAUAUACCGAUGGAAUAGGAUAGAGACCCAGAUAAACCGUCACAUAUAUGGCCAAAUUACUUUCAAGAAGGAUCCCAAGACCAUUCAAUGGAGAAAGGACAUUUGGAGAAAGGACAAGAGAUGGUUUUGGGGAAACUGGGUAUCCACAUGGAAAAGAAUGAAAUUGGAACCCUUUCUUACACCAUAUAUUAAAAUUAACUCAAAAUGGAUCAGACCUAAACAUAAGAGCUAAAACUAUAAAAUUCCUAGAAGAAAACAUAGAAGAAAAUCUUCAGGACGUUGGAUUUAGCAAUGAUUUCUUGGGUAUGAGACCAAAAGCCCAGGCAAUAAAAGAAAAUUUGAAAAAUUGAACUUUAUCAAAAUUUAAAACUUUUACACCUAAAGACACCAUCAACAGAGUAAAAAGGCAACCCACAGAAUGGGAGAAUAUAUUUGCAAAUCACAUAUCUGCUAAGGGAUUUGUAUCCAGAAUACAUAAAGAAUUCCUAAAACUCAACAGUAAAAACCAAGCAACCCAAUUCAAAAAUGGGCAAAGGACUUAUAUAUAGUUAUUUCUCCAAAGAGACAUACAAAUAGCCAAUAAAUAAAUGGAAAGAUGCUCAAUAUCACCUAGUCACUAGGGAAAUGCAAAUGAAAACCAUAGUGAGAUACCACCUCACAUCCAUUAAUAUGAGUAUUAUUUAGGAAAAAAAGCAGAUGUUGGUGAGGAUGGAGAAAUUGGAACUGUUGUUCAUUGCUGAUGGGAAUAUAAAGUGGUGCAGCCACUGUGAAAGACAGUAAGACAGUUCCUCAAAAAAUUAAACAAUUAUCAUAGGAUCUGGUACUUCCACUUCUCAAUAUAUAUACAAAAGAAUUUAAAGCAGAAACUUGAACAGAUAUAUAGCCAUAGCAGCAUAUAUUCACAAUAGCCAAAAGGUGGAAACAACCGAAUGUCCAUUGAUAGAUGAAUGGAUACACACAAUGGUACAUACAUACAAUCAAAUAUUAUUUACCCUUAAAAAGAAUUAACUUUUGACACAUGCUAAAACAUGGAUAAACUUGGAAGACAUUAUGCUAAGUGGAGUAAGCCAGGCACAAAAGGACAACUAUUGCAUGAUCCCCCUUUAUGAGGUCCCUAGAACAGUCAAAUUCGUAGAGACAGAAAGUAAAACAAUGGUUACCAGGGACUAGGGUAAGGAGGAAUUGGAAAGUUAUUGUUUAAUGCGUACAGAGUUCAGUUUCGGAUGAUGGAACAGUUCUGGAUAUGGAUAAUGGUCAGGUUUGCACAACAAGAUGAAUGUUCUUAAUGCCACUGAAUGUAUACUUAAAAUGGUAGAUUUUAUGGUAUGUGUAUUUUACCACAUUAAAAAAAAAGAUAUGCAGACUCCAAGAGGUGUUCUACUGGGAGAACAUUAGCCAGAGAAAUAGUUUUCAGGGUAUAUUUUAAGUUAUGUGUAAGUUGUUGAGUGAAUUAAUAAGAUUCUUUAAUUUUUUUUCCCUUACAUCUUGGGAGAGAUCAGAGUGAGAGAUUGGAACAAGGGAGAGAAGGAAAACAAAACAAAAGAUAAUUUCAGGUUUCUAGGAGCAGACAGAGAAAAUUAAACAAAGGAAGGCACCAUUAACAAGGAGAGUCUCCUGAGGGUUUAGGACGCCCGUUUUAAGUAGGAGUGAGCGUGUUGGACCUUCUCCGCGUUGAGCCUGCAGUCGCCAUGGAGCUGUGUACAGGACCUGGGAAAGGAGCCGGUGCUACCCAGGCAGAAGGAGGCUCCCAGAGUGUGAAGCCAGCCAGGCAGGGCUAGGCCCAGGUAGGUGAUUGAGCUGCAGGUAAGACCUUCGGUCCUUCCACCAGAGCUGUUGGGCCAAGUCCUGGUGGCCACUGUGCUCCUCUGUGAGCCUUGCAGUGCUCAGACCUGACUGCCAAUUCCUUCCACUAGAGGGAGUUUUUGAAAACGGCCCCCAGAGGUAGUGCUUCUAAUCAUUUGCCUUUGCCUUCAUUCCUGUACCUCUCUGUUCCCUUUUCCAGAUUUCCAGUGUUCUUUCUAGAAGCCUUGUUGCCCACAUGCUGCACUUUCAGAGUGACAGCUAUGUCAACAUGCCCUUCAGUGUCUUUCCUGGGUAUAAACCUCACCUCAGUGUCUCUCCUGGAUAUAAAGCUUAUAAUGCCAAUGUUACAGGUUUUCUGCUUCCUCUAGACUCAGUGUUAUUCAGCGUGUUUUCUCUGAAAGAGUGUUUUAUAGUGCUCUUCAUAUCUGUUAGCUUAGAUCUGUGUGUACUCAUAAUUUAAAACACACCGUGUGUUUACGUCUUUUUCCUGAACCGUUGAGAGAGUUGCAGGCACGAUGGCCCCCAUCCCUAAAUACUUCAGUGUGUAUUUUCUAAAACUAAAUACAUUUUCUUCCAUAACCAGACGGAACUUAUUGGAAUCAGGAAAUUAACGUUGAUGAAGUACUAUUGUCUAAUCUACAGAAGUUAUUCAGAUUUUACAAAUUAUCCAACAAUGUCCAUUAGAGCAAAAGAAGCAGUAGAUGAUGUGUUGCAGUCAGCUGUCAUGAUGCUUGGUCUCCUUCGGUCUGUAACUUUCCUCAGUUUUUCUUUGCUUUUCAUGAUAUUGACAUUUUUGAAAGGUACAAGCCAGGUAUUUUGUAGCUGCUCCUUGAUUUGAAUUUGUCUAAUUUUCCCUUACUAUAAGUUAUACAUUUCUUGGGCAGGGGAAGUGGAGGACCACAGAAGUGCUGUGUUAUAGUAUCUUAUAUUUAUAUUCUCAUGUUUAUAUUGUUAUAUUUAUUUUCUUAUAUUUUAUAGCUACAUAAAGUAUAUAGGUACAUAUUAUAGACAUAUACAUAGGUGUGUUUUUAUAUCUUUCUGUUUUUUAAUCCUCUUAGGAUUUUGUCUUUUCUAAUUGAGGUUCUGAAAUUUCGUUGUAAAUUUCUUCAGGUUUUUUCCUCCUCCUCCUGCUGGAUACUAGGUGGCUCUUCCAAUUUCAGAAUGUCUUUAUUGUUGGAAAAGUACCAGCUAUAUUUUACAAAGAUGCCUCUCCUUCAUUCUUUUGCUUUUCUCUGAGAAUUCCUUUCAUUUGCAAGAAUGCUGAUGUAUUUGAUUUUAUUUGUACUGUCUGUUCUGUCAUUUCUAAAGUUUAGUGUGAGAGGAAGCCAUUCACAACCAGAAACUCUAUUUUUUUUUUUUUUUUUUGCAUGCCAUUAUGCUUCUCUAGUUUCCUUCCAUUUGUGGUCAUGUCAGUAAGUAAAAUGAUCCAAAGUUGACCCCGUUUCUACCAGUGUGAAAUAGCUUUGUGCACAGUGCUGGAAGCUAAAACGUACUAACCAUGGUCUUUGAAACUCUAAACAUUAUUAAUGUCCCUUUGAAAAAGAGCUUUUCCCCACAAGGGUGAAAGACAUGUUAAAUUGGUACUUCUCAACAGAUGUGUAGGGAGGUUGUUGGUAUAAAAACUAAGGUUUGGGAUCAGCGUGGAAAUAUUAGAAAUGAUGGGCCAGUAAACACUUCUAGGUUCUUCCGGUGAAUUCCAGCAGGAUAAAGUUUUUUUGCCCAGACACUACAGCAGAACAAGGGAAAGAACAGAGAAGAAGAGAUCCUGAAAUUCCAGUGCUGGAAUUCAUCCACUCAACCCGGUCAACUCCAUCUUGAAACUCUACCCUGUGGAUUCGUUUCAUGAAUGAUGACCCCAAGACCAAAGACCAGGGAAUCCUCAAAGAAGGAGAUGAAAUUCUCCAAGGACACGUGAUCAAGGACCCAGUAGAGAGGCGACGUGAAGAGCUGCCGUACCUGUGUGAGCUCGUGUCUGCACCCAGCUAAUGGGGAAUGGUGAAGCCACUAGAGGGAAAGUUUUAGGACAAAAAUGACGUUUUCUAUAGAAAGCAGCUGAAGCAUUUUAAGAGAUGGAUGAAAACAAGGGAGCUCUCGAGUAUAAUUGUGAAGGAGAUUCUUAAGCUAAAUCUAAGUGAUUAAAGAAAUUUUAUGACUAGAUUUCUGUAGUGCACCUUCAUCAGCAUGUGUGCUGUUUUAAUCUGAAAUAGGAGCUGAGAUCAUGGGGUUGGGUGACCCCUUACUUCGGACAGUCCCCUCCCACAGCUUCUCGCUUGUGAAUUUUGUCAGGCUCCACAAAUGGGGAGACGUCCAGUAAAUGACCCCACCACUUGAACAGAAAGCCCUUUGUGAUGGUCUUAAUCCACGGGGUGACCUCCUCCUGUUCCUAGGCUGCCCUGUCCAGGAGGACCCCCAUCUCCUCCCAGGUCAUGUAGCAGUAAUGUUGGACCCCCCUGGGGUCUAGGUUCACCAUGAGGUUUUUCCUCACAAACAGAAGAUAGCCAAUUUUAUGGUCCCGCCAGACAUUAUUCAAUGGACUCUUGUGGUAAAUUCGGGUCAUAAAAAUUAUAUCCUUUAUGGAAAGCUGUGACAAAAGUUGAUCUGUGUUAAUUCAAACACAAGGAAAAUACGUUGGAGAGAGAAUUCAAAUUCAUUCUUUUUUUCAUUAAAAAAAUAUAUACAGUGCAUCCACUGAGUGCCACUCACUCAUUUUUCACUGGGGAGACCAAAUUAAAGAAAGCACAGUUUUAUAGCCUUGAAAAUUCAUUUUGUUGUGCACCCAAUGGGAUAAUUAUAUGGACACAAUUGAAAUAUGAAAAGUGCUAUAAGUAACUGAUAAGCGUAUUUCUGUGGGGCACAUACACCCUGAUUUCAUAAACAAAAGUCGUAUUUUAUCUGUAAAUACCAUGUAAGGGAUUUCUGUGUUCAUAGAUUGUGAAUCGGGUUUUCAUAGGUUUCAUGAGAAGGCUCUACCUCUGAUUCUUAUCUAACUCAGCAUCACUUAUUAAGUAACAACCAAUGUUCAGAUUCUUCGCUUUCACCUAUCCUCAUGUUGUAAAAACAGAGAAUGCAUCAUAGAAAUCCACACACAAUUUUCUAAAUUUGCACCCAAAGUUUAUUUUCUUUCCUGGAGUUUUGAUUGGAGGUAAGAAUUUGAGUAACUAACACAGUUGUGUAGAAAGAUUUAGAAGACAAGAUGCAGGGUACCUGUUCCAUAGGGAUUCCCGGCCCAGCCUGCAGAUGUCUCACGGCUGCCCUACUCACUCCCAAGGCGUCUUUUUCUUCCAGAGCAAUCUUCGGGAUUGCUUAGGGAGUGACCAGAGCAGGAGCCAAUGAAAUACCCUGGAAAGCAUGGAUAAAGUGCCUACUUUAUUGGAAAUUUUUUUAACUAAACAGGAUAAUUCCCUUCCUAAUCCCCAUUUAGUGGAUAAAAUAGAUUUAAUUCUGAAUUAUCACCUUAUUAUCAAUUCAACUUUUCAAAUCUUGGUCAAAUAUUAUUCACAUUAAAGUCUCAAUUCCUUUGAACUACAAAAUCUUUUCACUGCCCCCAAAUUUGCAUUUCUGAGACAAAUGGGUCUCUUCACUUCCCUGAAAAAAUUCCAGUUUGUCAAUGCUGGUAAUGUGGUGUCCUUCCAUUGUCUGUUGGAGUGGGACUGAGAUUUCCUGAGAGAGCUUUGGGUGGGUUUGCUGACUAGUCAACCCUCCGUGUGCUCCCACAGGACAGGUCAGAAGUCAGCAGGCUUUUAGGUUUCAUCUGACAAGCUUCACCGGGAAACAUGUACGUAGUCAGAUCUCUGCUGUAUGAGGAGCUGGUCUUGCUGGUUGAACAGGAUGACACUGAAGCGUCAGUGUAACAGCCCUACAGAGUGGGUGUGUGUUGGUUAAAACACAGCCGCUGUGCAUGUGAAGUCUAUGGAAGCGGUCCCCUCUGCCCCGUCGCAUCCUCUCACUCAGCUCAGGACUUGAACAGCAGCAGCAUCUCACCUUGGCUUCGUUGCAUUAUACUCCAGGUGCUAUACGCUUUGUCUGUUCAUCUGGUACUCAUGGCCUCACUUUGAGGGCAGCACUAUUAUUUCCCCUAUUUAUAAAAAAGGAAACUGGAGGGUAAAGAACUGAGCAUCCAUACCAGGAACACAGGUCUAGGAUUUGGACCCAACCAACCAAGUGUAAACCUGGUCCUCAGGACCCACAGUUGUUGCGGUGACAGGCUGACCAGGUGGGCAGAGGGAGAACCUGGUGGGGCCAAGUGACCUCUCAGGCUCUGGCCUUGUGGUGACCCUUGACACGGACAGAGCUCACAGUCAGGGUAUAAUGGUCCUGACUUUUCUUCAAAGCUGUAUGAAGGGAGAAGCACCACACACGUAAACUGUCUGCUGCUCAGUGACAUUUUCUCACAUGCUUCCUCGGUGCACUUGGCAAGUUUGGGAAUAGCCGAUGUGACAGAUCCUGAACACAGACAAGAACCUCUUUCCGCCUUACCCUUUUCAAUUUUUCAAUCAGGUGGCAGUUCCUCUUUGUUUUGUAUCCAGUGACCUGAUCAUUCUCAUCAGUGAUGGUGCAACUCUCCUCCAGCCGCAGUGUCUGGAACUCAUCAAGGUGACCUAGGCGGACAUACCUGCAAACAGGGUUAGUCAGCAGUGGGUACUGUCCCUAAAUUUGCCAAUAAAUGAACAAUGAAAGAGAACAUAUAGCCAUGUCCCUUCAUUGUGAAUAUCACAAAUUACACAAAGUAGUGUAACGUAUAUGGAGAAACGCUAAUCAUUUAGGGUACACUUCUUAGUUACGUUGGAAAUUUAGGGCAUGUUCUUGUUCUGCUUUUUAUUGUCCUGCAGGUUUUUUGUCAAUCAGUAAACCCCUGUAAAUCAGACUCAUAAACCAAAGGGUUUUGGAAAUCUCUGACACUGGAAAGCUGACAAGUAGAGAAUAAAAAGGAUAAAGUUCUCAUCUCUACAGAAGUGAGAAAAAAACAACCCACCUCUGUGGACUUCAUUCAUCAUUACCACAGUCUGUAUCUCCUUUUAUUUUUUCUAUUUAUGUUUAACUUUGUCUUAUUCCAAGAAGCAUUGUAGGCAAUAUAUGAGAAUUGGAGAAAUGCAAGAUUCUAAUGCUACCCUGUAGGGCCUGGGCCUUGCUUGCUCAGCAAAAGCCCCCAGGCCCAUUGCAACCAUGUGUCCUUCUGGCUUCCUGCUGGGCAGGGAGCCCAGCUGCUGGGAUUUGUAACGAUCUGGGCCUGGCCAGCCUGGAUCCCCCCUUAUCCCACGAGAAGAACAUCGAGUCUUACAGGAAGACAGAGCCCCUCCACGUGAGCUACUGUUCCUGGGAACACUGGUCGUACCAAGGACAGCCCUAUGGCAAGCAUGCAGCCUUUGUUUCUCUGCUUACUUAAGCAAACUUCUCUUAGGGGGCGGUUGCAGGUGCACACUUCUGUCCAGCCAGCUGCCACUGGACACUCCUGUAAGUAGGACCCAGUAAACCUAUAUGUCUCGUUCACAGUCUCCGGGUCAUUUCUUUGGUCUCUCGGUGCGAUAUCCUGCCACCUUAGCCCAGCUGGGCUUGCGGCCUAACAUACCCAGUAUCAGUUAAGAGGGGAAUAUUUGUCUUAGGAUAAUGAGGAAGGAAAUGAGAGAACAUGGGUUAUGGCCAGUUGCCAAAAGAAAGCAGUGAUGGAAAAUGCAAAAACAAAAUAGCCUUGACCAAAAUGAGAGUAACUGGAAAACAAAAAUAUAUGCACUCACCAUUCCUACAGAUUAGGGUUCACUGUAUGCCAAAUAUUUCUGAAAUCAAAAUAUAGAAUGCCGAGACCACUUCUGGGCCUGAGUGUCUUUUUAUAUCUUUUGGCCAUGUGUGUACAUGUGCAUCUGCACAUGUGUUUGUCUUCUCUUUGGGUUGAGACAUUCUCAAAUAUUGGCAGGUUAACAAAAAUACAUACUGAUCUUCAGAAGUCAAGGGGAGUGAUGACAUUUAUGUUUUUACCUCAUGGAGUGGCAUCAAAUUAACUAAGAUUAUGCAUGAAAUGACUGGGAUUCUGAUACUGGACUGCACACAUUUCUCACUUGAUUAUAGCUGGGAUGUGGUUGAAUGGUUUGGAAAGUUUGAUCCUUUCAGGUAUUGCUUUUAGGAUGUUAGGUGAGACUAAAGCAGUCCUAAAUCUAGACUAAUUAUUCUACUGAGGCUAGACACUUCUGAAUGUCUCCCCAUUGGCGCACGAACCAUGACACUUUCCAUUCUGGCUAGUGGCAGGAGGCAGUCUGCAGGAGUGCCGGGCACCGUUCCCUCUGAUCCUUUAGUUGGCUUUUCCCUUCAUGUGCAUGUGCCAGCC
rnacentral:lncRNA from 1 species